rnacentral:rRNA from 1 species
AUUGAACGCUGGCGGCAGGCCUAACACAUGCAAGUCGAACGAGUGGCGGACGGGUGAGUAAUGUCUGGGAAACUGCCCGAUGGAGGGGGGUAACUCCUGGAAACGGUAGCUAAUACCGCAUACCCUCGGAUGUGCCCACAUGGGAUUAGCUAGUCGGUGGGGUAACGGCUCACCUCGGCGACGAUCCCUAGCUGGUCUGUGAGGAGGCCCAGCCACACUGGAACUGAGAAAAGGUCCAGACUCCUACGGGAGGCAGCAGUGGGGAAUAUUGCACAAUGGGCGCAAGCCUGAUGCAGCCAUGCCGCGUGUAUGAAGAAGGCCUUCGGGUUGUAAAGUACUUUCAGCGAGGAGGCGUUACUCGCAGAAGAAGCACCGGCUAACUCCGUGCCAGCAGCCGCGGUAAUUC